UACGUAGGGAGCAAGCGUUGUUCGGAUUUACUGGGCGUAAAGGGCGCGUAGGCGGCGCGGUAAGUCAGUUGUGAAAUCUCUGAGCUUAACUCAGAACGGCCAAGUGAUACUGCAGUGCUAGAGUGCAGAAGGGGCAAGCGGAAUUCUUGGUGUAGCGGUGAAAUGCGUAGAUAUCAAGAGGAACACCUGAGGUGAAGACGGGUUGCUAGGCUGACACUGACGCUGAGGCGCGAAAGCCAGGGGAGCAAACGGG
rnacentral:rRNA from 1 species